UUUGUUAUAAUGUAGGUUCAGACAGGACCAGUUUGUUAUAUUGUAGGUUCAGACAGGACCAGUUUGUUAUAUUGUAGGUUCAUACAGGACCAGUUUGUUAUAAUGUAGGUUCAGACAGGACCAGUUUGUUAUAAUGUAGGUUCAUACAGGACCAGUUUGUUAUAAUGUAGGUUCAGACAGGACCAGUUUGUUAUAUUGUAGGUUCAGACAGGACCAGUUUGUUAUAAUGUAGGUUCAGACAGGACCAGUUUGUUAUAAUGUAGGUUCAUACAGGACCAGUUUGUUAUAAUGUAGGUUCAUACAGGACCAGUUUGUUAUAUUGUAGGUUCAGACAGGACCAGUUUGUUAUAAUGUAGGUUCAGACAGGACCAGUUUGUUAUAAUGUAGGUUCAGACAGGACCAGUUUGUUAUAAUGUAGGUUCAUACAGGACCAGUUUGUUAUAAUGUAGGUUCAGACA